AGUGAACGCUGGCGGUAGGCCUAACACAUGCAAGUCGAACGGCAGCACAGUAAGAGCUUGCUCUUACGGGUGGCGAGUGGCGGACGGGUGAGGAAUACAUCGGAAUCUACUUUUUCGUGGGGGAUAACGUAGGGAAACUUACGCUAAUACCGCAUACGACCUACGGGUGAAAGCAGGGGAUCUUCGGACCUUGCGCGAUUGAAUGAGCCGAUGUCGGAUUAGCUAGUUGGCGGGGUAAAGGCCCACCAAGGCGACGAUCCGUAGCUGGUCUGAGAGGAUGAUCAGCCACACUGGAACUGAGACACGGUCCAGACUCCUACGGGAGGCAGCAGUGGCGAAUAUUGGACAAAGGGCGCAAGCCUGAUCCAGCCAUACCGCGUGGGUGAAGAAGGCCUUCGGGUUGUAAAGCCCUUUUGUUGGGAAAGAAAAGCAGCAGGUUAAUACCCCGCUGUUCUGACGGUACCCAAAGAAUAAGCACCGGCUAACUUCGUG
rnacentral:rRNA from 1 species